rnacentral:misc_RNA from 1 species
GAUGAAGAACGUAGCGAAAUGCGAUAAGUAAUGUGAAUUGCAGAAUUCAGUGAAUCAUCGAAUCUUUGAACGCACAUUGCGCCCGAAGCCAUUAGGCCGAGGGCACGCCUGCCUGGGCGUCACACGUCGUUGCCCCCCCAUCUACUCCUUCGGGAUUGCGGGGGGCGGAUGAUGGCCUCCCGUGCGCCUCGUCGCGCGGUUGGCAUAAAUGCCAAGUCCUCGGCGACGCACGCCACGACAAUCGGUGGUUGCGAAACCUCGGUUGCCCGUCGUGUGCGGUCGUCGCGCAUCGAGGGCUCGAAAAAAUUGCCGGGCUCCGGCUCGGCUUUCAACGCGACCCCAGGUCAGGCGGGGUUACCCGCUGAAUUUAAGCAUAUCAAUAAGCGGAGGA